rnacentral:rRNA from 1 species
UGGGGAAUAUUGGACAAUGGGCGCAAGCCUGAUCCAGCCAUGCCGCGUGAGUGAUGAAGGCCUUAGGGUUGUAAAGCUCUUUCGCCGGUGAAGAUAAUGACGGUAACCGGAGAAGAAGCCCCGGCUAACUUCGUGCCAGCAGCCGCGGUAAUACGAAGGGGGCUAGCGUUGCUCGGAAUCACUGGGCGUAAAGCGCACGUAGGCGGAUCGUUAAAGUCAGGGGUGAAAUCCUGGAGCUCAACUCCAGAACUGCCCUUGAUACUGGCGAUCUCGAGUUCGAGAGAGGUUGGUGGAACUCCGAGUGUAGAGGUGAAAUUCGUAGAUAUUCGGAAGAACACCAGUGGCGAAGGCGGCCAACUGGCUCGAUACUGACGCUGAGGUGCGAAAGCGUGGGGAGCAAAACAGGAUUAGAUACCCUGGUAGUCCACGCCGUAAAACGAUGGAUGCUAGCCGUUGGGGGGUUUACCUCUCAGUGGCGCAGCUAACGCCUUAAGCAUCCCGCCUGGGGAGUACGGUCGCAAGAUUAAAAACUCAAAAGGAAUUGACGGGGUUAUAGCUGUUUCC